UCUCCGACGUCGCCAAAAACAGUACUUUGCAAGCACCGCCGCCGGAAAAUUCAACUCCGAUGGUUAAAGACAAAACCUUUGAAUCUCCGGUCGUAAACGGAACCAACCCAGUUGCCAAAAACAGUACUUUACAAUCACCGGCGCCGGAAAGUCGAACUCCGGUUGCUAAAAACGCAACCUUUGUAUCUCCGGUCGUAAACGGAACCAACCCAGUUGCCAAAAACAGUACUUUGCAAUCACCGGCGCCGGAAAAACGAACUCCGGUUGCUAAAAACACAACCUUUGUAUCUCCGGUCGUUAACGGCACCAACCCAGCUUCUCAACCUAUGCUUCCAGAUAAGUCUCCGACA
rnacentral:lncRNA from 1 species